rnacentral:lncRNA from 1 species
UCUUUGGUGUUAAUUAGUUGGUGCCAAAUUAUUGUUAGAUAGUUUCUUCUUCCUCUCAAGUUGUUGGGAGUUAGUUAUAACCACUUCUUAGUUAUUGUUCUUCUUGAUUAGUUGAGAGAUCAAGAAAAAUUUUUGGCUUCUUCAAGAAUCAAGAAAUAAAGAUCAAAAAGGGUUCAAGGGUUGAUCCCUAUCUAGGCUUGAUUCAAGCCUAUUCAGGCUUUGAGUUCAAGUGAGUUGUAUCAAGAAGAGCUUAUCU